UAGUGCUUGGAUUAGAAUUUCCUUGCGCUAGUGGGGGAAAAUCCUUAACCCAUAAAAAGGAUCCAGAUUAACCCCCCUGUUUGUUAUGUACCACAGCACAACCAGCUGUUACCGCUGUCUCUGUCUCUCACGAAACCCCAAACCAUAAAAUCCCCAAUUAUCAAUAAAACCUUUAAAAUCCUUUCUGAUUGAAAUUUCGUCAAUCUCACUUCUGAACCUCCCUUAGCCAUGGACGCUCAGAGAGCUCUGCUAGACGAGCUUAUGGGUUCAGCUCGUAAUUUGACGGAGGAAGAGAGAAAGGGGUACAAGGAAAUUACAUGGGACAGUAAGGAGGUUUGCGCUUGCUAUAUGGUUCGGUUUUGUCCGCACGAUCUCUUCGUCAAUACGCGGAGCGAUCUGGGACCGUGCCCUAGAAUACAUGAUCAAAAGUUGAAAGAAAGUUUUGAGAAGUCCCCAAGACAUGAUGCAUAUGUGCCAAAAUUUGAAGCUGAACUUGCUCAGUUUUGCGAAAAAUUGGUGAUGGACUUGGAUAGAAGAGUUAGGCGGGGGCGAGAACGCCUUGCUCAAGAGGUGGAACCCACCCCAGGACCUCCCCUAUCAGCUGAAAAAUCUGAACAGUUUUCCGUGCUGGAAGAAAAAAUAAAGAACCUGCUGGAGCAAGUGGAGGCCCUUGGUGAAGCUGGGAAGGUGGAUGAAGCUGAAGCACUCAUGAGAAAGGUGGAGGUGCUUAACGCUGAGAAGACAGCCUUGACCCAACAACCUCCGAAUGAUAAGAUGUUGAUGCUUGCUCAGGAGAAAAAGAUGGCUCUUUGUGAGGUCUGUGGUUCUUUUCUUGUUGCAAAUGAUGCGGCUGAGAGAACCCAGUCUCACAUCACAGGGAAGCAGCACAUUGGUUAUGGCAUGGUCAGGGAUUUCAUCGCCGAGUACAAGGAAGCUAAGGAGAAGGCAAGGGAAGAGGAAAACUUAGCUAGGGAGAAAGAAGCGGAGGAACGAAGGAAGCAAAGGGAGAAGGAUACUGAGAGGAGGAGAAGUGAUUCAGGUGACAGGGACAAGAAUCAUGAUCGUGAUCGAGAUAGGGAGCAGGGUAGAUACCGAGAACGAGACAGAGAUCGUGAAAGGUCUAGAGACUGGAAUGCUAGAGGUAAUCGGGAUGGAGGAAGAGGGGAUUGGAGGUUCAGGAAUGGAAGGGAAGGAGGCAGGGAUAGAUACCGAGAUCGGAGCAGGUCUCGUUCACCUGAUAGGCAUGGUCACAGAAGGUCACCUAGAAGUCCAGUUCGUCCGUAUUAGUGGAUUGUGUCGAUAGAUUUCUGAGCUUUAAAAUUAAAUGAGCUUUGUUGAUACUAUACCAUCUUCCUUUGUUGAGACUAUAUCAUCUCCAUUUCAUCAAUUUUGUUAAUGGAGAAAAGGGUUGAGAGUUGGGGUUAGUUUUGGAGUUAUCAGGAUCAGACAGGUAUAGGUAAUUACUUUGUCUUUGCAGAGUUAUUCUUUAGCAGAAAUGUUGUUCCACUUGCAUGAAAAUCUACUUCAGUGGGCUGGGAUUCAAGGUUAUGCCUUUUGGCAACUUUAAACUUGCAAUUUUGUGGGUGACUGGAGGUAACCGCAAGUUAUAAUCUGUAGAGUAGCUUGUUUCUAUUUAGUUUGCAGGAAAAGGCAGGUAAUCUGGUGAACCUUGAUGGUCAGAUUGCUGCUAGUAAGUAGAUAUUUUAUGCUAAGGAGUGGUUUGUGCAGGAAAAUAAACUUACAAAUAGUUGCUGCUUGUGGAACUACUAAUAUUCAAAGAACACAGGAAAUGAGAAACCGAAUGUAACUACAUUUGGAUUGGAGGACCGCAGGUGUGACCCGUGUCUGCAAUUCACAAUUGAAAACAUUAUUAGGUAAUUUGGCUAGAUAUGAAUUGUUUGACACUGUAAAGUAUUAGAUUAACAUUUACUGAAGUAAAAUUGUUUUGGAGCAAAGGAUAUGUCAUGGUAAACAUUGCAACAAUACCCAAGGAUAGCUUGGCAUAUAUUAU